rnacentral:rRNA from 1 species
AUUGAACGCUGGCGGCAGGCCUAACACAUGCAAGUCGAACGAGUGGCGGACGGGUGAGUAAUGUCUGGGCAACUGCCCGAUGGAGGGGGAUAACUACUGGAAACGGUAGCUAAUACCGCAUACCAUCGGAUGUGCCCAGAUGGGAUUAGCUUGUGGGUGGGGUAACGGCUCACCUAGGCGACGAUCCCUAGCGGGUCUGAGAGGAUGACCAGCCACACUGGAACUGAGACCCGGUCCAGACUCCGACGGGAGGCAGCAGUGGGGAAUAUUGCACAAUGGGCGCAAGCCUGAUGCAGCCAUGCCGCGUGUAGGAAGAAGGCCUUCGGGUUGUAAAGUACUUUCAGCGAGGAGGCGUUACCCGCAGAAGAAGCACCGGCUAACUCCGUGCCAGCAGCCGCGGUAAUUC